GUGUUGAUAAGAAAGGAGAGAUAGUUGGCAAUCCCCUCGAUAAGGACGGAAUUGGGGUCUAUCCCCUCAUCAACACAUAUAGUGUUAAGGCAGUGUCAAUCCCCUUUGGGGUACGACGUCUUGAACAGUUUUUUUUU
rnacentral:ncRNA from 1 species